UCACUUCACAUUAAGCCAAGGGUCGCUAUAUAGGGCGUGCCGGUUUCGACCGGAUAUGGCGAUAAAUUGCGGUGUGCAAUAGGCACAGCGGACCCGGGGGCAGUACCCGGCGGCUCCACCAGUUUUCCCCGCCAAGCCCUUGUUAUCGGAGGGGCCGUGGGGUUGGAUCAUGGGGCCGAACCAGGAUCGACGUGUGUUGAAAGGCACUGUUUUUGCCCGGGCUGAGUAACCCGUUUAAGGCUCAAAAACCCACAAGUGCCAACGAUAACGAAGCACUCGCUCUCGCAGCGUAAUCUGACGGCCUAACGGCCUGAUCUUACAAAGCCAAAGCGCGGUUGGACCCACCGGGCAACAGAAGGGAUACC
rnacentral:tmRNA from 1 species